UAAUUGAGUUUCGUUCAGAUUCCAAAAUCAGAAAGGCAAUGAAAAAUGGUUCACUUCCACAAAUACUCACAAGUUUGUUAAAGAAAUGUGAGAAUGGGGCUGUACAAAUACCAAAGAGAUUGAAAAUAAAAGUGGAAAUCAACGAAGGAGAACAUCUGCCUUUUUCUAUUCCAAAAAGGGAUAGAGUCAGUUGGAAACAUACUCAUUCAGAUGAAUAUAGUAUAGCGAGCAUUGAAAAGACUGAAAUGGAGGAGGACAGACCUGU